GAUGAACGCUGGCGGCGUGCCUAAUACAUGCAAGUCGAGCGAACAGAUGAGGAGCUUGCUCCUCUGACGUUAGCGGCGGACGGGUGAGUAACACGUGGAUAACCUACCUAUAAGACUGGGAUAACUUCGGGAAACCGGAGCUAAUACCGGAUAAUAUAUUGAACCGCAUGGUUCAAUAGUGAAAGACGGUUUUGCUGUCACUUAUAGAUGGAUCCGCGCCGCAUUAGCUAGUUGGUAAGGUAACGGCUUACCAAGGCAACGAUGCGUAGCCGACCUGAGAGGGUGAUCGGCCACACUGAAACUGAGACACGGUCCAGACUCCUACGGGAGGCAGCAGUGGGGAAUCUUCCGCAAUGGGCGAAAGCCUGACGGAGCAACGCCGCGUGAGUGAUGAAGGUCUUCGGAUCGUAAAACUCUGUUAUUGGGGAAGAACAAAUGUGUAAGUAACUAUGCACGUCUUGACGGUACCAAAUCAGAAAGCCACGGCUAACUACGU
rnacentral:rRNA from 1 species